ensembl:snoRNA
CCUCUCUCAGCUCCGCUUAAUCAUACUCCGUGUGUGCUUGGCGUACUUCCAGAGAGAGAGAGAGGAAGGCCCUCCUAAUGCACGGCAGACUGGUCUCAAGUGGCCUCUCUGUUCCUAGGAGCGCGACAUCU